CCGGCACAUGACCGACCUUCAACGUUGAAAUAUGGUUGAAAUAAGGUCAGUUGUGGUUUCAACGUUGAAACAACGUUGAUUCAACGUUUAAAGCUGAAUGGUUGAAAAACAUCCAGCACAUGACCAACUUUCAAUGUUGAAAUAUGGUUGAAAUAAGGUCAGUUGUGGUUUCAACGUUGAAACAACGUUGAUUCAACGUUUAAAGAUGAACUGUUGAAAAACUUGCAGCACAUGACCAACUUUCAACAUUGAAAUAUGGUUGAAAUAAGGUCAGUUGUUUUAAUGAAACAACGUUAAAAAUGUUUAAUGCUAAAUGGUAGAAAAAGGUUAACAAGCUUUUAAAUUAUUUAUAUUAAAUUAUUUAAAUUAAUUAUUAUUUUAAUAGCAUUUAAAAAUAUUUUAGUCAUGAUACCUAUUCUAAAAUCUAAAGGUAUAUGUUAAAUAUUAUCAUCAUUAACAACAAUAAAACUAUACAUUUCGCUGCUUUAUCACACUGAAACAACUCCCAUUGGUAGUUUUAUUUUAUUACUUCUAUCAUGAUUGGUUAAUCUGGCUGUCAUUCAGGAAACUGGACAAUGAAUCGGUUCGCGCUUUUCUACAUUUAAAAAUAUGACCGUUGUUGUCGUCUUUCUGUGAGUGAGGCGGCUAACUGUGAGCUGCUGCUCGUUAUAACUGACUGCUCGGUCGGUCCCGAAUUAUUUCAUAUUUGCCUGUACAUUUUUUAUUUAUUUUGAGCGAAUUUGAGUCGUGACCUGUCAAUGGAGAACAAAAACUGUGAACACAAGAAAGGUCAGGUGUUCUGCGAGGUCCUGAAAACAUCCUGUCAAAAUGAGAUGAUCAAGUUAGAUGCUCACCUAAUGUGUUACUGAGUCAUCGAGGAUCCAGCUUGUUCUUGAAACAUUGAAGUUUGCACUCUGCAAGUGAACGACGCCUUGUGGUGCCAUCCCAAAGAGGUUCAUAAUCACUCUCAAGGACCUUUUCCUGGACUGUGCCCAGCUGGUGGAAUGACCUCCCAAUCUCAAUCCGAACUGCUGAGUCUUUACUCAUUUUCAAGAAACAUCUUAAGACUCAUCUUUUUCACCAGAACUUAACCAACUAAUGCUAGCACUUUUCCUUCUUUUCUUGUCUUUUAUAUAUAAAAAAAAAAAAAAACCUGGCUAUGCGUUCUGUACUAGACUAACUGAGACUUGUCAUAGCACUUGUAUCCUGUUGUUGUUCGCUUGUACACCUGACUGCUUCUGUUCUUCUCAUUUGUAAGUCGCUUUGGAUAAAUUUGUCUGUUAAAUGAUUAAAUGUAAAUGUUUAUACAGGACGGUACAGAAAGUGCACAAGUGGGAGAGAGUGGAGGGGACGGCGUCAGAAAGGACCGAGCGCUGGGACACUUUCAAGGAUCACCCGAAGCACAACCACACUGUAUACACUAAGGCUGCUGGUUCUAACAUUUUAGAGUGCCCUGCGGUAGAAAUCUCAUUCUGCAUGCCCCACGGUAAAGAAGACACAGUCCGGGGGGGUUCCCAUUAGAAAUCAACUGGUGGAAGGUUCCCUUCUCGAACUGUUCAACACAUUUUCACUGCACAAAUGUACACAACUCUUGUAAUGAGACACAUUACUAAAACAUGUUUUUGACAGAAACUGUAGGUUUCCACCAAAAUAGAAGAUCCACUGGUUUCAGUCAUAAAGGUACAAGGGUUUGUCUUGUAAGUGCUGCAAAAAAAUAUGCAUUUAUGUGCCAAAUUAUUUCACAAAAACCUUUAAAUAUUAUUGUAUUUGGAUUGUUCUACUACCUGUUUUUAGCAUUACCUCCAUGCAUACUCUGCAUAAUAAAGUGUGGGAUUAUUUUCAUCUGUUUUAUACAGUAUGUUUCCAAAAUUAAACUGCUGUUUGACAAUUUUGAGCAUGUGGUAGUUUAUUGAAGUUGUUUGUAAAGCCAUUGCUGCCAGUCAUUAGAUUUUUAGCCUUGCAUGUACCUUGUUGAUCUAAAUGCCAACUAGGAUCUAGGUGUAUUUACCCACGGUGCAAGGUACGACGGGGAAACAACGUCGUGUUAUCAACGCUGAUUAACUUUUCAAAAUCAACACCUCAUUCAGCUUUCAUCCCAGGGCUGCAGCACGACCCUAAUUCACCCAUAAUGCAGGUAAGACGGUGAAACAGCGUCGCGAUUUCAAUGGUGAAUCCACGUCGUGAUUUCAACGUUGAUCCAAUUUGCAAAAUCGAAAGGUUAUUCAACGUUGAUUCAACGUCGGGAUUUCAACAGUGAAUCAGCGUUGUGAUUUCAACCAUACAUCAACGUCACGAUUUCAACGGUGAAUCAACGUCGUGAUUUCAACGUUGAUCCAAUUUGCAAAAUCGAAAGGUUUUUCAACGUUGAUUCAACCAUGGUACCUGACGUUGUUUCAACGUUGAAUCAACGUUGAAAUGCCGGC